rnacentral:rRNA from 1 species
GCACAGACCGCGGGUGCUACACAUGCAGUCGACGAGACGGGAUAGCUUGCUAAUCUGUCAGCUAAGUGGCGCACGGGUGAGUAAUAUAUAGGUAAUGUGCCCCUUACAAAGGAAUAACAGAUGGAAACGUCUGCUAAUGCCUUAUAUGCCUUGAGUACAUAAGUAUGAAAGGGAAAGUUUUUCGGUAAGGGAUCGGCCUGUACGGUAUCAGCUUGUUGGUGAGGUAAUGGCUCACCAAGGCAAUGACGCCUAACUGGUUUGAGAGGAUGAUCAGUCACACUGGAACUGAGACACGGUCCAGACUCCUACGGGAGGCAGCAGUGGGGAAUAUUGCACAAUGGACGAAAGUCUGAUGCAGCAACGCCGCGUGGAGGAUGACACAUUUCGGUGCGUAAACUCCUUUUAUAUAGGAAGAAAAUGACGGUACUAUAUGAAUAAGCGCCGGCUAACUCCGUGCCAGCAGCCGCGGUAAUACGGAGGGCGCAAGCGUUACUCGGAAUCACUGGGCGUAAAGAGCGUGUAGGCGGAUUAAAAAGUCAGAAGUGAAAUCCUAUGGCUCAACCAUAGAACUGCUUCUGAAACUCUUAAUCUAGAAUAUGGGAGAGGUAGAUGGAAUUUCUGGUGUAGGGGUAAAAUCCGUAGAGAUCAGAAGGAAUACCGAUUGCGAAGGCGAUCUACUGGAACAUUAUUGACGCUGAGACGCGAAAGCGUGGGGAGCAAACAGGAUUAGAUACCCUGGUAGUCCAAGCCCUAAACGAUGUACAUAAGUUGUUGUGAGGCUAG